rnacentral:rRNA from 1 species
UACGGAGGGUGCAAGCGUUAUCCGGAUUCACUGGGGUUAAAGGGUGCGUAGGUGGGUUGGUAAGUCAGUGGUGAAAUCCCCGAGCUUAACUUGGGAACUGCCAUUGAUACUAUCAGUCUUGAAUACCGUGGAGGUCAGCGGAAUAUGUCAUGUAGCGGUGAAAUGCUUAGAUAUGACGUAGAACACCAAUUGCGAAGGCAGCUGGCUACUCGGAUAUUGACACUGAGGCACGAAAGCGUGGGGAUCAAACAGG